AGUGAACGCUGGCGGUAGGCCUAACACAUGCAAGUCGAACGGCAGCACAGUAAGAGCUUGCUCUUACGGGUGGCGAGUGGCGGACGGGUGAGGAAUACAUCGGAAUCUACUUUUUCGUGGGGGAUAACGUAGGGAAACUUACGCUAAUACCGCAUACGACCUACGGGUGAAAGCAGGGGAUCUUCGGACCUUGCGCGAUUGAAUGAGCCGAUGUCGGAUUAGCUAGUUGGCGGGGUAUAGGCCCACCAAGGCGACGAUCCGUAGCUGGUCUGAGAGGAUGAUCAGCCACACUGGAACUGAGACACGGUCCCGACUCCUACGGGAGGCAGCAGUGGGGAAUAUUGGACAAUGGGCGCAAGCCUGAUCCAGCCAUACCGCGUGGGUGAAGAAGGCCUUCGGGUUGUAAAGCCCUUUUGUUGGGAAAGAAAAGCAGCAGGUUAAUACCCCGCUGUUCUGACGGUACCCAAAGAAUAAGCACCGGCUAACUUCGUG
rnacentral:rRNA from 1 species